UACGUAGGGGGCAAGCGUUGUCCGGAUUUAUUGGGCGUAAAGAGCGUGUAGGCGGCCAGAUAGGUCCGUUGUGAAAACUCGAGGCUCAACCUCGAGACGCCGAUGGAAACCAUCUGGCUAGAGUCCGGAAGAGGAGAGUGGAAUUCCUGGUGUAGCGGUGAAAUGCGCAGAUAUCGGGAGGAACACCUGUGGCGAAAGCGGCGCACUGGACCACAACUGACGCUGAGGCGCGAAAGCUAGGGGAGCAAACAGG
rnacentral:rRNA from 1 species